rnacentral:rRNA from 1 species
AUUGAACGCUGGCGGCAGGCCUAACACAUGCAAGUCGAACGAGUGGCGGACGGGUGAGUAAUGUCUGGGAAACUGCCUGAUGGAGGGGGAUAACUACUGGAAACGGUAGCUAAUACCGCAUACCAUCGGAUGUGCCCAGAUGGGAUUAGCUAGUAGGUGGGGUAAAGGCUCACCUAGGCGACGAUCCCUAGCUGGUCUGAGAGGAUGACCAGCAACAAGGUAACUGAAAGACGGUCCAGACUCCUACGGGAGGCGGCAGUGGGGAAAAUUGAACAAUGGACGCAAGCCUGAUGCGGCCAUGCGGGGUGUGUGAAGAAGGCCUUCGGGUUGUAAAGUACUUUCAGCGGGGAGGCGUUACCCGCAGAAGAAGCACCGGCUAACUUCGUGCCAGCAGCCGCGGUAAUUC